GACGAACGCUGGCGGCGUGCCUAAUACAUGCAAGUCGAACGCAGUUGGGACGGGUGAGUAACCCGUGGGUAACCUCCCCAUCAGAGGGGAUAAAACUUGGAAACCGGUGCUAAACCGUUACUGAUGGCUUGACCCGCGGUACCUUAGCUAGUUUGUGAGGUAAAGGCUCACAAAGGCCACGAGGCAUAGCGGACCUUAGAGCGUGAGCGGCCACACUGGGACUGAGAAACGGCCCAGACUCCUAAGGGAGGCAGCAGUAGGGAAGCUUCGGCAAUGGACGAAAGUCUGACCGAGCAACGCCGCGUGAGUGAAGAAGGUUUUCGGAUCGGAAAACUCUGUUGUUAGAGAAGCGGUAUCUAACCAGAGAGCCACGGCUAACUACGUGCCAGCCGCCGCGGUAAUAC
rnacentral:rRNA from 1 species